GUACGAAGGGGAGGCUAGCGUUGUUCGGAAUUACUGGGCGUAAAGCGCACGUAGGCGGAUAUUUAAGUCAGGGGUGAAAUCCCAGAGCUCAACUCUGGAACUGCCUUUGAUACUGGGUAUCUUGAGUAUGGAAGAGGUAAGUGGAAUUGCGAGUGUAGAGGUGAAAUUCGUAGAUAUUCGCAGGAACACCAGUGGCGAAGGCGGCUUACUGGUCCAUAACUGACGCUGAGGUGGCGAAAGCGUGGGGAGCAAACAGG
rnacentral:rRNA from 1 species